AUCAGGUGGGAUUACCCGCUGAACUUAAGCAUAUCAAUAAGCGGAGGAAAAGAAACUAACAAGGAUUCCCCUAGUAACGGCGAGUGAAGAGGGAAAAGCCCAAAUUUGUAAUCUGGCUCUUUUAGAGUCCGAGUUGUAAUUUUGAGAACUGUUUUCAGUGCUGGACCAUGUUUAAGUCUGUUGAAAAACAGCAUCAUUGAGGGUGAUAAUCCCGUUCAUGAUAUGGACUACCAGUACUUUAUGAUACAGUCUCUAAGAGUCGAGUUGUUUGGGAAUGCAGCUCAAAGUGGGUGGUAAAUUCCAUCUAAGGCUAAAUAUAGGUGAGAGACCGAUAGCAAACAAGUACCGUGAGGGAAAGAUGAAAAGAACUUUGGAAAGAGAGUUAACAGUACGUGAAAUUGCUGAAAGGGAAACAAUUGAAGUUAGCCUUGUUAUUGUCAGUUCAGCUCUUUUAGAGUGUAUUCUGAUGAUUAACGACCAACAUCAGUCUUUGAGUGCUGGAUAAGGGUUUUGGAAAUGUAGCAGUCUCGGCUGUGUUAUAGUCCAUUACUUUGAUACAGUGCUUGGGAUUGAGGAUCGCAGUAAGCCAUUUUAUGGUGGACCAAAUUUUUGGUCUUCUUACUGAGGAUGUUGGUGAAAUAGCU
rnacentral:rRNA from 1 species